UACGGAGGGUGCAAGCGUUGUUCGGAUUUAUUGGGCGUAAAGCGCGUGUAGGCGGUCUGUUAAGUCUGAUGUGAAAGCCCUGGGCUCAACCCAGGAAGUGCAUUGGAUACUGGGAGACUUGAAUACGGGAGAGGGUAGUGGAAUUCCUAGUGUAGGAGUGAAAUCCGUAGAUAUUAGGAGGAACACCGGUGGCGAAGGCGGCUACCUGGACCGAUAUUGACGCUGAGACGCGAAAGCGUGGGGAGCAAACAGG
rnacentral:rRNA from 1 species